rnacentral:rRNA from 1 species
ACGAACGCUGGCGGCGUGCUUCACCCAUGCAAGUCGAACGGAAAGGCCCUGCUUUUGUGGGGUGCUCGAGUGGCGAACGGGUGAGUAACACGUGAGUAACCUGCCCUUGACUUUGGGAUAACUUCAGGAAACUGGGGCUAAUACCGGAUAGGAGCUCCUGCUGCAUGGUGGGGGUUGGAAAGUUUCGGCGGUUGGGGAUGGACUCGCGGCUUAUCAGCUUGUUGGUGGGGUAGUGGCUUACCAAGGCUUUGACGGGUAGCCGGCCUGAGAGGGUGACCGGCCACAUUGGGACUGAGGUACGGCCCAGACUCCUACGGGAGGCAGCAGUGGGGAAUAUUGCACAAUGGGCGGAAGCCUGAUGCAGCAACGCCGCGUGCGGGAUGACGGCCUUCGGGUUGUAAACCGCUUUCGCCUGUGACGAAGCGUGAGUGACGGUAAUGGGUAAAGAAGCACCGGCUAACUACGUG